GAUGAAGAACGCAGCGAAAUGCGUUAAGUAAUGUGAAUUGCAGAAUUCAGUGAAUCAUCGAAUCUUUGAACGCACAUUGCGCCCGCCAGUAUUCUGGCGGGCAUGCCUGUUCGAGCGUCAUUUCAACCAUCAAGCCCCCGGGCUUGUGUUGGGGACCUGCGGCUGCCGCAGGCCCUGAAAAGCAGUGGCGGGCUCGCUGUCACACCGAGCGUAGUAGAUUUUAUCUCGCUCUGGGCGUGCUGCGGGUUCCGGCCGUUAAACCACCCUUUUAACCCAAGGUUGACCUCGGAUCAGGUAGGAAGACCCGCUGAACUUAAGCAUAUCAAUAAGCGGAGGA
rnacentral:misc_RNA from 1 species